GCUAACUUUUGAGCUUUAAUUGCUGAAAGCUUGUGCAGCAGAAAUAAUGGCCCAUUCCUGACUACACUGCACAAUAAUUCCAAGGCAGGGUCCCUCAUGUAGUGUACUACAAGGACUUCUGCUGCUUCCCCCGGUGGGAGUUGCACAUUCACUGUAACCACUGCCAGAGUGCACUUGCAGCCUGCCAUUGGAAUCCUGUUUGUCAGAUUUUCAGGCCUGCCACACCAAUUUUCCAGCUCGCCUCCCCUCCUUGGCUGCAGCUCAUUCUUUGGUUUGGCUGGCUUAGCUGCCUGCCCAAUAUGGCAGGAUGCUGCUUGCAAUAUCAUAUGCAAUAUUGCUCUCAUGGCAAGACAUGCCUUUUUUUGAUCCAUUCCUACCUUCUCCCCUCUCCAGCCCGAAUCAGGAUUUUAGCCUCUGUCCAGAAAAACAUUUAUGCCUAUGUUUAACUUCCAUUUACUGCUAGUUCUCCCCACAUACAUAGAGAUAUACAUGUGUUUAAGUGCUUUACUAGGUGUGAACUGAGGCCUUAAUACUCUUUAUAAGAAGCAUGCAGCAUACAUGCUUCAUGGUGUAUGUUAUUCUUAUUGAUUGUUUUGAAUCAUUUCUAGGUGGGUUUCAGCCCUGCCAAACUAUUUGGGGUUAAAUUCCAGCUAAAUUCUUUUUUUUUUUUUUUUUCCUAAUAUCAGAAAGCACUUUCUAGGCACUAACAGAGUUUUGAGUACUGCUCUUCCUUCUCUGCUGCCUUCCAGACAAAGCCAUAACACUGACAAAUUUUUAACAGCAAAAGUGAAAUGGGCACUCUAUUAGGUUGUGGCACCACUAGAUACAUGCCUAACAACCUUCUCUUGCCAUUAAAAAAGUGAUGCAUUAAUUGCUAGAUUUUACAACUAACAGAAUAUUGUCUUUAUGUGGACAGAUAACUUUUAAAAAUAGAUGCAAAUUUUUGUACUGAUAAUUACUUGCAUGCCUAGAUUGAAUAGUUGGAUGCUUUUUCCAGAGAUGAUUCCCCAGGACUAUAAUGCUGCUUAGUCCCACCUACACAAGCAAAAAGAAAACGAUGUUGUAAUCAAAUGCCUUGGCAUAGCUGUGGGGAGCAGAGCUGUCACAGUUAAUGUGAACAUCUCUGCAUCUUUUCCUUUUUUGUGAAAAUGGACAGUUAAAGAAUUUUAUAAAAGACUGAAGUUCCUUUCCUUACUCCCCCGUAAUAACUCAGGUCAUCCAGUAGGACUUUCUCUGUUAUGUGUAUGUAGAUCCAACACUUUUUUUUUUUUUUAAAGCACUGUCCAGUUAAGGUCUUAGAACUUCUUGUUACUGUUGGUUAACUAUGAAUAACGCCCCUUUCAAUGGUGACAUUUAUGAUGGUGUUUGAUGUAUUAUCGAUGUACUAUUCCCUUCAGCACUACUUAGUUGGGAGCACUGACAUGCUGUGGACCUGUACAUCUAAACACUAGGACCUGAGCCUGCUGCAUGCAACCUAAUGAACUGCUGACAUGCAACUGCUUUCCAACCUCUUCCAACUAGCUGUUGGUAGGUGAAAACCCUCCACCCUGCCUGGCUGGCAGUUUCAUGCCUUAUGCCACAAGGCCUUUGAACUGAAACUAUUAAUUAAAUUAUUUUAAAUUAAAUUACAAUGUAAAGUGUGGAAGUCCUUGCCACUUGAUAGGGUGGAUGCUGCCAAUUUAGCCAGAUUCAAAAUAGGAAUUGGUCACAUGCAUGGAGGUAAGGAGCAUAGGUGUGACGGGCACAGCCUCUGAAUCACAGCAUCCUAG